rnacentral:rRNA from 1 species
AUUAAUGAGGGAAGGAAAAGAAAUUAACUAAGAUUCCUUUAGUAGCGGCGAGCGAAACAGGAAAAGCCCAGCACUAAGCCCUCCGGUCGUUCUGGCCGGCAGGGGAUGCAGUGUAUGGAAAGUCUAUUAUCUUAUAUGACGGUAAUACGUUCAAGUCCAUCUUGAAUGGGGCCUUUUUACCCAUAGAGGGUGCCAGGCCCGUAGCAACUGUUACCAGUAUAAGAAGAUUUUUCCAAAGAGUCGUGUUGCUUGAUAGUGCAGCACUAAGUGGGUGGUAAACUCCAUCUAAGGCUAAAUAUAACCACGAGACCGAUAGCGAACAAGUACCGUGAGGGAAAGUUGAAAAGCACUCUGAAUAGAGAGUUAAAUAGUACGUGAAACCGCUUAGGGGUUAAGCCCGAUGAACCUGAAUAUCUGAAAUGAGAAAUUCAAUACUAUUACUUCGGUGAUUGUAUGCACUUUUCUCAUAGUAAGACAUUGCGAUCCAUUAGUUAGUUUAUCAAACGGCCCGUAUAGUCAGUUUAAUCUAUCUGCAUUAUUUUAUAAUGUAUGGUUAAUGCUAUUGCGGUGACCUGAUAAACGUCUGAUGGAGCUUAUUAAAUCAUGCAGCCAUGUCUUAUGUAUCGCGGUUCUUAUAUAUUUAUAUAUUUGAAUGCAGUGAUCGCAUGUAUUUGAUUAGCAAUGCGAUAGAUUUGGGAUACCUUCGGGACCCGUCUUGAAACACGGACCAAGAAGUCUAACAUGUGUGCAAGUCAUUGGGUAUUUUGUUGAAACCUAAAGGCGCAAUUAAAAUAACUAUUUUAUGGGAUUACAAGUAAUCAUUGUGUUACUUCUCCAUCCCGGGGCGUUCUAUAUGAACAUGGUUUAAGCAAUUAGACCCUCUGUUCGGGAGCGUACCUUGAGCAUACAUGCUGU